rnacentral:rRNA from 1 species
GAUGAACGCUGGCGGCGUGCUUAACACAUGCAAGUCGAACGAUGAAGCUGGAGCUUGCUCUGGUGGAUUAGUGGCGAACGGGUGAGUAACACGUGAGCAACCUGCCCCUGACUCUGGGAUAACAGCCGGAAACGGCUGCUAAUACCGGAUAUGCACCAUGAACGCAUGUUCUGUGGUGGGAAAGAUUUUUCGGUUGGGGGUGGGCUCGCGGCCUAUCAGCUUGUUGGUGAGGUAAUGGCUCACCAAGGCGUCGACGGGUAGCCGGCCUGAGAGGGUGACCGGCCACACUGGGACUGAGACACGGCCCAGACUCCUACGGGAGGCAGCAGUGGGGAAUAUUGCACAAUGGGCGAAAGCCUGAUGCAGCAACGCCGCGUGAGGGAUGACGGCCUUCGGGUUGUAAACCUCUUUUAGCAGGGAAGAAGCGAGAGUGACGGUACCUGCAGAAAAAGCGCCGGCUAACUACGUG